GGGUGCGAUCAUACCAGCACUAAUGCACCGGAUCCCAUCAGAACUCCGCAGUUAAGCGUGCUUGGGCGAGAGUAGUACUAGGAUGGGUGACCUCCUGGGAAGUCCUCGUGUUGCACCCCCUU
rnacentral:rRNA from 1 species